rnacentral:rRNA from 1 species
CCUACGGGUGGCAGCAGUGAGGAAUAUUGGUCAAUGGACGCAAGUCUGACCCAUCCAUGCCGCGUGCAGGAUGACGGCCCUAUGAGUUGUAAACUGCUUUUGUACGAGGGUAAACGCAGAUACGCGUAUCUGUCUGAAAGUACCGUACGAAUAAGGAUCGGCGAACUCCGUGCCAGCAGCCGCGGUAAUACGGAGGAUUCAAGCGUUAUCCGGAUUUAUUGGGUUUAAGGGGUGUGUAGGCGGUCGGAUAAGUUAGAGGUGAAAUCCCGGGGCUCAACUUCGGAAUUGCCUCUGAUACUGGUCGGCUAGAGAGUAGUUGAGGUAGGCGGAAUGUAAGGUGUAGCGGUGAAAUGCUUAGAGAUCAGACAGAACACCGAUUGCGAAGGCAGCUUACCAAGCUACUUCUGACGUUGAGGCACGAAAGCGUGGGGAGCAAACAGGAUUAGAUACCCCAGUAGUC